rnacentral:rRNA from 1 species
AUUGCCCUAGUAACGGCGAGUGAAGCGGCAACAGCUCAAAUUUGAAAUCUGGCUCUUUUAGGGUCCGAGUUGUAAUUUGCAGAGGGCGCUUUGGCGUUGGCAGCGGUCCAAGUUCCUUGGAACAGGACGUCACAGAGGGUGAGAAUCCCGUACGUGGUCGCUGGCCUUCGCCGUGUAAAGCCUCUUCGACGAGUCGAGUUGUUUGGGAAUGCAGCUCUAAAUGGGAGGUAAAUUUCUUCUAAAGCUAAAUACUGGCCAGAGACCGAUAGCGCACAAGUAGAGUGAUCGAAAGAUGAAAAGCACUUUGGAAAGAGAGUCAAAUAGCACGUGAAAUUGUUAAAAGGGAAGCGCUUGCAGCCAGACUUGCCCGUAGUUGCUCAUCCAGGCUUUUGCCUGGUGCAUUCUUCUAUGGGCAGGCCAGCAUCAGUUUGGGCGGUUGGAUAAAGGUCUCUGUCAUGUACCUCCUUUCGGGGAGGCCUUAUAGGGGAGACGACAUGCAACCAGCCUGGACUGAGGUCCGCGCAUUCGCUAGGAUGCUGGCGUAAUGGCUGUAAGCGGCCCGUCUUGAAACACGGACCAAGGAGUCUAACAUCUAUGCGAGUGUUUGGGUGUCAAGCCCGAACGCGCAAUGAAAGUGAACGGAGGUGGGAACCCUUAAGGUGCACCAUCGACCGAUCCUGAUGUCUUCGGAAGGAUUUGAGUAAGAGCAUAGCUGUUGGGACCCGAAAGAUGGUGAACUAUGCUUGAAUAGGGUGAAGCCAGAGGAAACUCUGGUGGAGGCUCGCAGCGGUUCUGACGUGCAAAUCGAUCGUCAAAUUUGGGCAUAGGGGCGAAAGA